CUUUAAAAUGAUUUAAUGGGCAAAUGAUUAAUUCUUUAAGUUCACAAUUGAAAUUGUUGUGGUUGUUUUGAACACAUGAUUAUACAUAUACGUUCAUUCAUAUGCUCUUAAUAUUUCUCCUGUCAGUGUUCUAAAUAUUUGUUUUGUUUGUUGAUUUUAUUGCUGUUGUAUUUUGUUUUUGCUAAAACAUUUAUUUCAGGUUUAGUUUGCCUUUAUCAUCAUCAUUAAUUUAAUGAUCUUGUGAGCCAAGGAUAAAAUUAACAGUGUUGAAGUUGAAAUAUACAGUAGUUUGUCUUUUUGUCUUUUCAUGAAGUAGAUGGUUUUUAUAUUAUUUAGAUACACCUACCUAUAAAUCUGUUUACCCUGCAGGUGUGAUGAAUGCAGACUCUGCUACCAUUUUGGCUGUUUGGAUCCUCCUUUGAAAAAGUCUCCUAAACAGACAGGCUACGGAUGGAUAUGUCAGGAAUGUGAUUCUUCAUCUUCCAAGGAAGAUGAAAAUGAAGCUGAAAGAAAAAAUAUAUCUCAGGAGCUCAACAUGGAACAGAAAAAUCCAAAGAAAUAAAAGAUUUUCUGUAGUGUUUUUGAAAAGUUUGCAGCUUAUGUAAUAGCAGAUAAAAUUUCUAAUUGUAAAAUGUUAAAUUGUAAAAUCUAAUUUGCAAAAUGUUCUCAAUAAAGUCAUUCAAAAUGAAAUAGGA
rnacentral:sRNA from 1 species